AAACAGUUCCCAAAACCCCAGCCAAAAAGAGAACGGUGGCCCUUUUGUUGGUCAGGUUCAUCUGCCCAGGAAACAGGUCACUAAGUAUGGUCCUUGGGGGUGUGGUCUCCAUGACUUACAAGCUGAUGAGGAGUUACCAAACCGCAGGGUGGAAUGGGAAACUCAGCCCAAAACAACUUGCCCUGGGCUCCGGGCCACGCCUGGGCUCUGCCGAGUCAUGCUCAGGCGCCUGCACUAAUGUGACCCCCUGUUUGUUCUCAACUCUGCACCUGCUCUCAGCUCCCCCUGCCUGUCUGCUGCUUGGGUGGGGCUCUCUCUGACUCAUGCCUGCACAGCAAAGGGGUGCUUUCCUGGGAAGGAGCAGGUCAAUCUUUUUAUGAAGACAAGCUGUAAUCAAUCAGCUGGGUAUAAGAUGGGGUUUUCACCCUUUCCAAGCUGCAUGAGCUCCAGCCACCCCUAGGAGGAGACAACAUAUCACGCAUCUCAAGACCUGGAGGGAGAAUGGCAAGCAGCUGAUUCAUCUCCAUUGCCUGUGAAACACUGCUACUCCACGUGUCACUUCUCACUCAGGGGUCCCCUCCUCACUCCUCCCUACUCAAGGGGCUUGUCCCUCCCUCCAUGAAUCAAGCCUAGGAAGCUG
rnacentral:lncRNA from 10 species